rnacentral:rRNA from 1 species
UACGUAGGGUCCGAGCGUUGUCCGGAAUUAUUGGGCGUAAAGGGCUCGUAGGCGGUUUGUUGCGUCGGGAGUGAAAACUUACAGCUUAACUGUGAGCGUGCUUCCGAUACGGGCAGACUUGAGGUAUUCAGGGGAGAACGGAAUUCCUGGUGUAGCGGUGAAAUGCGCAGAGAUCGGGAGGAACACCCGUAGCGAAGGCGGCGCUCUGGGCCGGUACUGACGCUGAGGAGCGAAAGCGUGGGGAGCAAACAGG